UCAAAUUUAUCUCUAACAACAUUACUUUCCUUUCAAUCAUCAAUCAAUCUAAUGAGACAUACUCCAAAAAAUCCAUCUCGUAGAAUAUUCGAAACUUGACAAAAUUAAAAAGAGAAAAAGAAAGUCUCAACAACCCGAAAAUUUGCAGUCCUUUAGCCACGUUUUCUCCAGUAACUAAGCAAUAUAAGCACACAAUAUCUACUACAGUUAAGCAGAAAAACAACUAAAGACAACAUCAUUAUUUUCAUUAUUUUCCCCAAAUACUGAUGCUGUAGGGUUGAUCGUGUAUUCACGAGUCUUUGGUCGUGCCAUUUUCUCCAUCUCAAACCUUCUCGCCCCAUCUGAGUUUCUAGUAACAUUUGCAGCUUUCUUUUUCUCGAUUCUUCUCUGCAUAAUGUACUCUUCAGAAAUAUACACAUCCAUGUGUAGCUCUCAAUACCUUCAAAAAUUGCACAGA
rnacentral:lncRNA from 1 species